rnacentral:rRNA from 1 species
AUUGAACGCUGGCGGCAGGCCUAACACAUGCAAGUCGAACGAGUGGCGGACGGGUGAGUAAUGUCUGGGAAACUGCCCGAUGGAGGGGGAUAACUACUGGACACGGUCGCUAAUACCGCAUACCCUCGGAUGUGCCCAUAUGGGAUUAGCUAGGAGGUGGGGUAACGGCUCACCUAGGCGACGAUCCCUAGCUGGUCUGAGAGGAUGACCAGCCACACUGGAACUGAGACACGGUCCAGAAUCCUACGGUGGGCAGCAGUGGGGAAUAUUGCACAAUGGGCGCAAGCCUGAUGCAGCCAUGCCGCGUGUAUGAAGAAGGCCGUCGGGUUGUAAAGUACUUUCAGCGAGGAGGCGUUACUCGCAGAAGAAGAACCGGCUAACUCCGUGCCAGCAGCCGCGGUGAUUC